UACGAAGGGGGCUAGCGUUGCUCGGAAUCACCGGGCGUAAAGGGUGCGUAGGCGGGUCUUUAAGUCAGGGGUGAAAUCCUGGAGCUCAACUCCAGAACUGCCUUUGAUACUGAAGAUCUUGAGUUCGGGAGAGGUGAGUGGAACUGCGAGUGUAGAGGUGAAAUUCGUAGAUAUUCGCAAGAACACCAGUGGCGAAGGCGGCUCACUGGCCCGAUACUGACGCUGAUGCACGAAAGCGUGGGGAGCAAACAGG
rnacentral:rRNA from 1 species